rnacentral:rRNA from 1 species
AUUGAACGCUGGCGGCAUGCCUUACACAUCCAAGUCGAACGGUAAAAGGGAGCUUGCUCCGCUGACGAGGGGCGAACGGGUGAGUAAUGUAUCGGAACGUACCUUUCAGUGGGGGAUAACGUAGCGAAGGUUACGCUAAUACCGCAGAGUCGGUGAGCAGGAAAGCAGGGGAUCGCAAGACCUUGCGCUGAUUGAGGGGCCGAUAUCAGAUUAGCUAGUUGGUGAGGUAAAGGCUCACCAAGGCGACGAUCUGUAGCGGGUCUGAGAGGAUGAGCCGCCACACUGGGACUGAGACACGGUCCAGGCUCCGACGGGAGGCAGCAGUGGGGAAUUUUGGACAAUGGGGGCAACCCUGAUCCAGCCAUGCCGCGUGAGUGAAGAAGGCCUUCGGGUUGUAAAGCUCUUUCGGCCGGGAAGAAAUCGCAUGGGUUAAUACCCUGUGCGGAUGACGGUACCGGCAUAAGAAGCACCGGCUAACUACGUGCCAGCCGCCGCGGUAAUAC